UACGAAGGGUGCAAGCGUUACUCGGAAUUACUGGGCGUAAAGCGUGCGUAGGUGGUUCGUUAAGUCUGUCGUGAAAGCCCCGGGCUCAACCUGGGAAUGGCGAUGGAUACUGGCGGGCUAGAGUGCGGUAGAGGAGAGUGGAAUUCCCGGUGUAGCGGUGAAAUGCGUAGAGAUCGGGAGGAACACCAGUGGCGAAGGCGGCCUUCUGGACCAGCACUGACACUCAAGCACGAAAGCGUGGGGAGCAAACAGG
rnacentral:rRNA from 1 species